AAAGGAAUUGUUUUUAUAACAAUGGCUUUGUUGUCAAUGUAUCUUAGUCAUACUUUAGCCGUGAUGAAGUGUACCUGUUAUUGUUUCUGGAAAUGUAAAAGCUGUGAAAGGAAAACCAAACAUAAUACAUGUACGUAUUAGAGAAAUAGAAGAAAGCUCCCCCGUGUCUAUGGUGAUGUUUCCUCCCUUUUCCUAGCGCUUCGUUCGAUUCCACCGUCCGGCUGUGGGAUGUGGAGCGCGGCGUGUGCAUCCACACUCUCACCAAACACCAGGAACCUGUCUACAGUGUCGCUUUCAGCCCCGACGGCAAGUACCUGGCCAGCGGCUCCUUUGACAAGUGUGUGCACAUCUGGAAUAUUCAGAGUGGGAGGCUCGCCCACAGCUACCGAGGCACUGGCAGCAUCUUCGAGGUCUGCUGGAACGCCCGAGGGGACAAAGUGGGCGCCAGCGCGUCCGACGGCUCUGUGUGUGUUUUAGACCUGCGAAAGUAAAUGGAAUGUUGCAGGAAAGGGAAGAGAAUUCUAACCCACCAGCAGUUCGCGUGGGGUGGGGUGGGGUGGGGGGGCAUCCUGUGGGCUCCAGGCUGCACGGGCGUGGCGUGUGGGCGUGGACUUUGAAGUCAGCUCCUCCUGGGCCCUGGGCGCCUAUAUCUUUCCUAGUUCUUGUCAGAAAGUUUCAAACACACACAAUUGUAUCAGAGGUGGGAGGGUGGUUUCCACAGGGACAUCUGGUUGGAAAGCGUGACGCCUCCAGCGGGAUGGUCCCAGUUUGGUUCCCACCCAGACAGGCUCUGAGGGCUGAGACUGGAGGGGGAAAAGCUGUGGCAAAAGAGAAGAAAAGCGAAAAAGGCUGCGAUAACCGAACGGGGGUGGAAGAGCUCUGCCCGCGGGCUGCGUGUCGCCCUAACAAUUCGGCCACUGCCAUGGCCCUCGCCAAGGAUGUUCAGAGCCCAGCCUGUGCCGGGAAAUGCGGGGCUUGUGAUCCCAGCGCCCCCGUUUCACACAACCUUCUUUGUCAGGUGGCUUUUCUGUUGGAACCCUGUUCACUGGGCCUUCUGUCCACGAUGGGGCCUGUUCCCCUUCCUCAUUGCCUGUCUUGAUUUUAGCGUGUCUUGAUUUGCUGUUGAUGCGGCCUUGGGGACACCAUGACAAAAUCUUUGCCAGAAGGCUUUCUCACCCCUCCCCUCUCCCCCUCUCCCCCUCUCCUUCUCCCUCUCCCUCCCCUGCUCCCCUUUAUCAUACUUGUUUCAGAUCUUAGGUCUUGAGGGUACUUUUGGCUUAAAAUAACUGCUUUAUGUAGGAAGGCAGGGCAGGGUGACUUUUUACAGGAGGAAAGAAAAAUGACUUAAAGAGAGCCCGGAGUAUUUUUUGGGGGAAAAUAUUUUUAUGUUAAAGCAAUUUUAAAAUCCUAAAAUAGCCAUCAGACAGCUUUGUGUGGUUUGAUAUUUUAAAAUAUUCUAGGGAACUGUUCCCUUUGCGGGCGGGGGGGGCGGUGGGCAGACCCGUGGACCAGCGGGAUUUCCUCCGCAGAGGGAGAAGUCCGGCUCUUGGCUGGGGGACAUUGUGGGAUCUCCCCAGGAGCCCCCUCUGUAGCCCUGGGAGGGAACUGAAGAGGGUGCACUGUGCCCCCAGGAGCCUGUCCCAAACCAGCCGGUACUGAGGAAGCCAUAGAAGCAGACAGCUCAGCUGUGUGGCCUGUUGGUGGCACCUCCUCCGUCGGCCACUGCCCCCGAGCUGCUGGGCGGGCCUGGCACGGCUGACCCCUGGCGGGCAGGGACAGAAGUAAACGGGAAGGAAGGCCCUUGCAUCCGCAAGGUGGACUGAGGGUAGAGUGUCACCCAUCACCUCCACUGUCUCCAUCUCUUCUUUCUGUGCCAAGAGACUAGAUUUUCUUUUUUUAAUAAUGAACCUUUUCACUGUUUUUAAAUUAAACAGGAGUUUGUGUUUCUACGGGAAUAUCCUUUCAUUGGAUGAGGUGGCCUUUGCACUGUCAGCGCGGACGCUGACCUGGUUUUGAAAGUAGCAGUGGGAGAAGGGCCCUCACUCUCCCAGGGGCAGAGAGGAGAGCAGCAGGGGCAGAGCAGGGAUGGGAAGGCGGCCUGGCGGGCGGGGUGCCCUGGGCAUGUUCAGCGGCUGCAUCCCAGCUACCAGAUGGGAUGCUAUUCAGGGGCGGCGUCUGAGAGGCCUGGACUGAGCUGGAUCUGGGACAUCACCAGGCUCCAUGGAUCCGUGACUUCCUUGAGUCUGAGCCAGAGAAGGCCCCAAAGUGCUUUUCCGAGUUGGGUGUUUAAUUCGGGCUGUUGCCAAGCGCGAAGUCUAGGAAGUCACCGCUCUCAUCUUUGAAGGCAGCCGACACCCGGACCCAGUUGAGCAUUUCCGCCCUGAGAAUCAUUAGGUUUGGGGCGCAGUGUGCGGAGGUGCACACACCGCCUGACCCCUCCCCCGACAGGAACCUGAGCUUUUCCGCAGAGCAUCGCUGCCCAGGGCCGCCGGGAACACUGGUCCCUGGAAGGUCGGCCCGUGCCCGGCACUGUUUGCCUCCUCACAACUCUUCAUGUCUCGCCACCCGUUAGUGACCAGACGUGGCCUUGGUCUGAGCAGGCGGCCCAGGCCGAGGCUCCCUGGUUUGCAGGGGCCACGGGCGGCCUGGCCCAGGGGAGGCGAGGGCCGAGCACCGCAAGCCCGGGACUGGGGUUUCCUUCUGUCCGGGCGAGGUGCACUCUGUCCCACGGAAGCCUGCUUCGCUCUGGUUAUUUUCCUCUUUUUAAACCUGUUCCACCUUUUUCCCCCAAGUCGUGUUGCUUGUCAAACGCAGGCGCGUUCCUCCGCCCCGCCCCGGGGUUUUGGACUCUGGCUUCUGGGUGUGUUUGUCCAUCAGAUGUGCCAGCCGCGCCAGCGCCUCCCGACCUGUCCGCCCACCCGCGCCCCACGCUCUGGCCAAGAACCACCUGGCACUUCGCAGCCCAUUUGCUAGGAUAGGAGCAACAGGUCCUGUUCGGGGUCUUGAAUAAAUGGCUCUAUUUUGAUGCGAGA